rnacentral:rRNA from 1 species
UACGGAAGGCAGCAGUGGGGAAUAUUGCACAAUGGGCGAAAGCCUGAUGCAGCUAUGCCGCGUGUAUGAAGAAGGCCUUAGGGUUGUAAAGUACUUUCAUCGGGGAGGAAAAAACAAAACUAAUAAUUUUAUUUCUUGACGUUACCCGAAAAAGAAGCACCGGCUAACUCCGUGCCAGCAGCCGCGGUAAUACGGAGGGUGCUAGCGUUAAUCAGAAUUACUGGGCGUAAAGAGCACGUAGGUGGUUUUUUAAGUCAGAUGUGAAAUCCCUGGGCUUAACCUAGGAACUGCAUUUUGAAACUGAAAUACUAGAGUAUCGUAGAGGGAGGUAGAAUUCUAGGUGUAGCGGUGAAAUGCGUAGAUAUCUGGAGGAAUACCUGUGGCGAAAGCGGCCUCCUAAACGAAUACUGACACUGAGGUGCGAAAGCGUGGGGAGCGAAACAGGGAUUAGGAUACC